rnacentral:rRNA from 1 species
GACGAACGCUGGCGGCGUGCUUAACACAUGCAAGUCGAACGGAAAGGCCCUUCGGGGUACUCGAGUGGCGAACGGGUGAGUCACACGUGGGUGAUCUGCCCUGCACUUUGGGAUAAGCCUGGGAAACUGGGUCUAAUACCGAAUAGGACCACGCGCUUCAUGGUGUGUGGUGGAAAGCUUUUGCGGUGUGGGAUGGGCCCGCGGCCUAUCAGCUUGUUGGUGGGGUAAUGGCCUACCAAGGCGACGACGGGUAGCCGGCCUGAGAGGGUGACCGGCCACACUGGGACUGAGAUACGGCCCAGACUCCUACGGGAGGCAGCAGUGGGGAAUAUUGCACAAUGGGCGCAAGCCUGAUGCAGCGACGCCGCGUGAGGGAUGACGGCCUUCGGGUUGUAAACCUCUUUCAAUAGGGACGAAGCGCAAGUGACGGUACCUAUAGAAGAAGCACCGGCCAACUACGUG